rnacentral:rRNA from 1 species
AUUGAACGCUGGCGGCAGGCCUAACACAUGCAAGUCGAGCGGUUGACGGGAGCUUGCUCCCUGAUUCAGCGGCGGACGGGUGAGUAAUGCCUAGGAAUCUGCCUAUUAGUGGGGGACAACGUUUCGAAAGGAACGCUAAUACCGCAUACGUCCUACGGGAGAAAGCAGGGGACCUUCGGGCCUUGCGCUAAUAGAUGAGCCUAGGUCGGAUUAGCUUGUUGGUGAGGUAAUGGCUCACCAAGGCGACGAUCCGUAACUGGUCUGAGAGGAUGAUCAGUCACACUGGAACUGAGACACGGUCCAGACUCCUACGGGAGGCAGCAGUGGGGAAUAUUGGACAAUGGGCGAAAGCCUGAUCCAGCCAUGCCGCGUGUGUGAAGAAGGUCUUCGGAUUGUAAAGCACUUUAAGUUGGGAGGAAGGGUUGUAGAUUAAUACUCUGCAAUUUUGACGUUACCGACAGAAUAAGCACCGGCUAACUCUGUGCCAGCAGCCGCGGUAAGAC